CCGGCGGCGGACGAGCCCCUCGCCAACCCGGUCAGGUCCGGAAGGAAGCAGCCGUAACGAGCACCGUUUGGGUCGCACUUAA
rnacentral:SRP_RNA from 1 species